UUUUAUUUGAGAGUUUGAUCCUGGCUCAGGAUGAACGCUGGCGGCGUGCCUAACACAUGCAAGUUGAGCGAUUUACUUCGGUAAAGAGCGGCGGACGGGUGAGUAACGCGUGGGUAACCUACCCUGUACACACGGAUAACAUACCGAAAGGUAUGCUAAUACGGGAUAAUAUAUUUGAGAGGCAUCUCUUGAAUAUCAAAGGUGAGCCAGUACAGGAUGGACCCGCGUCUGAUUAGCUAGUUGGUAAGGUAACGGCUUACCAAGGCGACGAUCAGUAGCCGACCUGAGAGGGUGAUCGGCCACAUUGGAACU
rnacentral:rRNA from 1 species